UUUUAAUACAUCUUUGGAAGACAUAAGCGAAGCACUGUGAUGUUGUUUUCCUAAGAUAUGACAGGUCUGCAUUAUACCCUAGGAUGAAUGACACUUUAUUAAUAGUAUUAAUAUUAUUAUCAUUUAUUCAUGAGUACUGUUGCUCCUGGGAAUGCACAUCCAGGCUAGAUUCCUGCAUGAGAACUUUAUUUCACUCCGGUUGUGUGACUGGAAAUUCAAACUGGAAAUCAGUAGUCCAGCUCAUGGACUGACCAUUUUGUGGUGUUUGUGCUUCACUGAAACCUGAUGUCCAAAAGGAUAGGGGUGAGCCUAACUUCUGCUGACCGGGGUCCUCACUGAGAUCCGGCAGACUGCCUUGAACCCUAAGUUUUCUUGCUUUAGCGUGAAUAUUAGUGAUUCAGUGGGAUGGCACUCAGCUUUCUCCCUCUGUACCACCACUCUGUGCUGGACAUGUCAUGUGCACCGUAUAAAGCUCCAUGCACAUCACCUCCCUCCCUCUGAGAUUUUCUGGGUGAGAUCACAGAGCCCCAACAUAGAUUUAUUGUGUCAAAG
rnacentral:lncRNA from 1 species